rnacentral:rRNA from 1 species
AUUGAACGCUGGCGGCAGGCCUAACACAUGCAAGUCGAGCGAGAGGCGGACGGGCGAGUAGUUGAUGGAGACCUGCGUGAUGGAGGGGGAUAACGAGGGGAAACGGUGGCUAAAAGUGCAUAAGGUCAGAUGGAGCCAUGUGGGUGUAGCUUGUAGGUGAGGUAACGGCUCAUCUAGGCGACGAUCCCGAGCGGUUCUGAGAGGAUGAUCAGCCACACUGGGACUGAGACACGGCCCAGACUCCUACGGGAGGCAGCAGUGGGGAAUAUUGCACAAUGGGCGCAAGCCUGAUGCAGCCAUGCCGCGUGUAUGAAGAAGGCCUUCGGGUUGUAAAGUACUUUCAGUCGGGAGGCGUUACCGACAGAAGAAGCACCGGCUAACUCCGUGCCAGCAGCCGCGGUAAUUC